rnacentral:tRNA from 1 species
AGUUAAUGAUCUUGAGAAAUAAGUUUACGUUUUGAAAACAUAAGAAAGAAAUUUUAAUUUUCUAUUAACUU